UACGUAGGUGGCAAGCGUUGUCCGGAUUACUGGGCGUAAAGAGCGCGCAGGCGGUCGACCAAGUCGCGUGUGAAAGCCCCGGCUCAACUGGGGAGGGUCACGCGAUACUGAUCGACUCGAAGGCAGGAGAGGGUAGUGGAAUUCCCGGUGUAGUGGUGAAAUGCGUAGAGUAUCGGGAGGAACACCAGUGGCGAAGGCGACUACCUGGCCUGUUCUUGACGCUGAGGCGCGAAAGCUAGGGGAGCAAACGGG
rnacentral:rRNA from 1 species